rnacentral:tRNA from 1 species
GGGGAUGUAGCUCAGCUGGUAGAGAGCUUGCCUGGUAUGCAGGAGGUCCUGGGUUCGACACCUAGUACCA